rnacentral:rRNA from 1 species
UGGGAAUCUGCCCAGUAGUGGGGGACAACAGCCGGAAACGGCUGCUAAUACCACAUACGCCCUACGGGGGAAAGGGGGGGAUCUUCGGACCUCUCGCUAUUGGAUGAGCCCGCGUCGGAUUAGCUAGUUGGUAGGGUAAAGGCCUACCAAGGCUACGAUCCGUAACUGGUCUGAGAGGAUGAUCAGUCACACUGGAACUGAGACACGGUCCAGACUCCGUACGGGAGGCAG